rnacentral:tRNA from 1 species
ACCUGGGUGGCUCAGUGGUUGAGCGUCUGCCUUCAGCUCAGGUCAUGAUGUGGGAUCAAGUCCUGCAUCAGGCU